ACAAGCUCGCAGGGUGACCGAGCUAACUGAAACAUAGAAUUUUUUAAAAUUCAUGAUGUCGUAAGGGAAAAUAAUGAUAAUACCUUACUAUGAGUGUCGUCCAAAUCUGGUGCCAGAAGACUCGGUAAGACCAGAGACGCAAACGUUAAUCAUCAUAAACAGGCGUAAAGGGUUUGUAGGCAGCUUUCACCAAACUAUGAUUACAAAAUAAAGUAGUUUAAUUGAAAGCUAGAAUCAAAAAGAGGUUAUAGUGUAUAACGCCUAGAGGAGGGCUGAUAUCCAUAGAUCCUAGGCAGAAUACUCAGGGCGAAGGCCACUCUCCACUACUGAUUGACGCUGAGAAACGAAGGUUAGGGUAGGAAAUAGGAUUAGAUACCCCGGUACUCCUUUCUGUAAACGAUGAAUGGUAGUCAUUAGUUUUAUAACUAGAGACGAAGUUAACACAAUAACCAUUCCGCCUUGUGAGUACUACUGCAAAGUAGAAAACAAAAAAAUUAGUCGGUCUCGAAGCAAACGGAGUGAAGCAUGUUAUUUAAUUCGUACUUCCGCA
rnacentral:rRNA from 1 species